rnacentral:rRNA from 1 species
CUCCUACGGGAGGCAGCAGUAGGGAAUCUUCGGCAAUGGACGAAAGUCUGACCGAGCAACGCCGCGUGAGUGAAGAAGGUUUUCGGAUCGUAAAGCUCUGUUGUAAGUCAAGAACGUGUGUGAGAGUGGAAAGUUCACACAGUGACGGUAGCUUACCAGAAAGGGACGGCUGACUACGUGCCAGCAGCCGCGGUAAUACGUAGGUCCCGAGCGUUGUCCGGAUUUAUUGGGCGUAAAGGGAGCGCAGGCGGUCAGGAAAGUCUGGAGUAAAAGGCUAUGGCUCAACCAUAGUGUGCUCUGGAAACUGUCUGACUUGAGUGCAGAAGGGGAGAGUGGAAUUACCAUGUGUAGCGGUGAAAUGCGUAGAUAUAUGGAGGAACACCAGUGGCGAAAGCGGCUCUCUGGUCUGUCACUGACGCUGAGGCUCGAAAGCGUGGGUAGCGAACAGGAUUAGAUACCCUGGUAGUACCACGCCGUAAACGANGAGUGCUAGGNGUUAGGCCCUUUCCGGGGCUUAGUGCC